rnacentral:rRNA from 1 species
UACAAUGGAGAGUUUGAUCCUGGCUCAGGAUGAACGCUAGCGGGAGGCCUAACACAUGCAAGCCGAGCGGUAGGGUCUCUUCGGAGACUUGAGAGCGGCGUACGGGUGCGUAACACGUGUGCAACCUGCCUCUAUCUGGGGGAUAGCCUUCCGAAAGGAAGAUUAAUACCCCAUAAUAUAAUGAUUGGCAUCAAUUAUUAUUGAAAACUCCGGUGGAUAGAGAUGGGCACGCGCAAGAUUAGAUAGUUGGUGGGGUAACGGCCCACCAAGUCGAUGAUCUUUAGGGGUCCUGAGAGGGAGAUCCCCCACACUGGUACUGAGACACGGACCAGACUCCUACGGGAGGCAGC